rnacentral:rRNA from 1 species
ACUCUGUACGGAGUUACAAAAGAAUUUGUUAGACGAAUAACCUGGAAAGGUUAAUCAUAGAAGGUAAUAAUCCUGUAGUCGAAAACGAAUUCUCUCUUGAGUGGAUCCUGAGUACGACGGAGCACGUGAAAUUCCGUCGGAAUCUGGGAGGACCAUCUCCUAAGGCUAAAUACUCUCUAGUGACCGAUAGUGAACCAGUACCGUGAGGGAAAGGUGAAAAGUACCCCGGAAGGGGAGUGAAAGAGAACUUGAAACCGUGUGCUUACAAGUAGUCAGAGCCCGUUAAUGGGUGAUGGCGUGCCUUUUGUAGAAUGAACCGGCGAGUUACGAUCUGAUGCAAGGUUAAGCAGAAAAUGUGGAGACGUAGCGAAAGCGAGUCUGAAUAGGGCGAAUGAGUAUUUGGUCGUAGACCCGAAACCAGGUGAUCUACCCUUGGUCAGGUUGAAGUUCAGGUA